AGUCUUACACCCUCGGGAAGAGGGUGUGGCGGACGGCUGAGUAACACGUGGCUAACCUACCCUCGGGACGGGGAUAACCCCGGGAAACUGGGGAUAAUCCCCGAUAGGGGAAGAGUCCUGGAACGGUUCUUCCCCUAAACGGUUAUGGGCUGUUCCCGCUCAUAACCGCCCGAGGAUGGGGCCGCGGCCCAUCAGGCUGUUGGCGGGGUAAAGGCCCGCCAAACCUAUAACGGGUAGGGGCCGUGGGAGCGGGAGCCCCCAGUUGGGCACUGAGACAAGGGCCAGGCCCUACGGGGCGCACCAGGCGCGAAACGUCCCCAAUGCGCGAAAGCGUGAGGGCGCUACCCCGAGUGCCUCCGAAAGGAGGCUUUUCCCCGCUCUAAUAAGGCGGGGGAAUAAGCGGGGGGCAAGUCUGGUGUCAGCCGCCGCGGUAAUACCAGCUCCGCGAGUGGUCGGGGCGCUUACUGGGCCUAAAGCGCCUGUAGCCGGCCCACCAAGUUACCCCUUAAAGACCCGAGCUCAACUCGGGGACUGGGGGUAAUACUGGUGGGCUAGGGGGCGGGAGAGGCGGGAGGUACUCCCGGAGUAGGGGCGAAAUCCGUAGAUACCGGGAGGACCACCAGUGGCGGAGGCGUCCCGCUAGAACGCGCCCGACGGUGAGAGGCGAAAGCCGGGGCAGCAAACGGGAUUAGAUACCCCGGUAGUCCCGGCUGUAAACGAUGCGGGCUAGGUGUCAGACGGGCUUAGGGCCUGUCUGGUGCCGCAGGGAAGCCGUUAAGCCC
rnacentral:rRNA from 1 species